rnacentral:rRNA from 1 species
AAAUUGAAGAGUUUGAUCAUGGCUCAGAUUGAACGCUGGCGGCAGGCCUAACACAUGCAAGUCGAGCGGUAGCACAGAGAGCUUGCUCUCGGGUGACGAGCGGCGGACGGGUGAGUAAUGUCUGGGAAACUGCCUGAU